rnacentral:rRNA from 1 species
AGUGAACGCUGGCGGUAGGCCUAACACAUGCCAGUCGAACGGCAGCACAGUAAGAGCUUGCUCUUACGGGUGGCGAGUGGCGGACGGGUGAGGAAUACAUCGGAAUCUACUUUUUCGUGGGGGAUAACGUAGGGAAACUUACGCUAAUACCGCAUAAGACCUACGGGUGAAAGCAGGGGAUCUUCGGACCUUGCGCGAUUGAAUGAGCCGAUGUCGGAUUAGCUAGUUGGCGGGGUAAAGGCCCACCAAGGCGACGAUCCGUAGCUGGUCUGAGAGGAUGGUCAGCCACACUAGAACUGAGACACGGUCCAGACUCCUACGGGAGGCAGCAGUGGGGAAUAUUGGACAAUGGGCGCAAGCCUGAUCCAGCCAUACCGCGUGGGUGAAGAAGGCCUUCGGGUUGUAAAGCCCUUUUGUUGGGAAAGAAAAGCAGCAGGUUAAUACCCCGCUGUCCUGACGGUACCCAAAGAAUAAGCACCGGCUAACUUCGUG